rnacentral:tmRNA from 1 species
GGGGAUGAUCCGGUUUCGACGGGGACAUCGGAAUCAGGAUAAGCGAGCCGCGGACCCUGAACCGCGUAAAAACGGGGAAAAAAAAUAACUGACGAAAAUAAUUUCGCCUUCGCGGCUUAAUGCCGCGCGUCGGCCCGGUUGACCCACGCUCCCGGAUACCGGCGUCAUUAUCGUGGGGAACGAGCACUGCCAAAGCUUUGAGGCUGUGUCCGUAAUCAUGAAGCUACCAAACGGGGAAGCCUGUCCGCGGGCGUCCCUGUGAGGGAAAUUCAAAACACGGAAUGCGCUCGGAGAAGAUCCUGACGACGGGUUUUCGGACAGGGGUUCAACUCCCCUCAUCUCCACUU